rnacentral:rRNA from 1 species
CCAGACUCCUACGGGAGGCAGCAGUGGGGAAUAUUGCACAAUGGAGGAAACUCUGAUGCAGCGAUGCCGCGUGAGGGAAGAAGGUUUUCGGAUUGUAAACCUCUGUCUUAAGGGACGAUAAUGACGGUACCUUAGGAGGAAGCUCCGGCUAACUACGUGCCAGCAGCCGCGGUAAUACGUAGGGGGCAAGCGUUAUCCGGAUUUACUGGGUGUAAAGGGAGCGUAGACGGCAGCGCAAGUCUGAAGUGAAAUCCCAUGGCUUAACCAUGGAACUGCUUUGGAAACUGUGCAGCUGGAGUGCAGGAGAGGUAAGCGGAAUUCCUAGUGUAGCGGUGAAAUGCGUAGAUAUUAGGAGGAACACCAGUGGCGAAGGCGGCUUACUGGACUGUAACUGACGUUGAGGCUCGAAAGCGUGGGGAGCAGACAGGAUUAGAUACCCCUGUACU